UAGGGAAUCUUCCACAAUGGACGAAAGUCUGAUGGAGCAACGCCGCGUGAGUGAAGAAGGGUUUCGGCUCGUAAAGCUCUGUUGGUAGUGAAGAAAGAUAGAGGUAGUAACUGGCCUUUAUUUGACGGUAAUUACUUAGAAAGUCACGGCUAACUACGUGCCAGCAGCCGCGGUAAUACGUAGGUGGCAAGCGUUGUCCGGAUUUAUUGGGCGUAAAGCGAGUGCAGGCGGUUCAAUAAGUCUGAUGUGAAAGCCUUCGGCUCAACCGGAGAAUUGCAUCAGAAACUGUUGAACUUGAGUGCAGAAGAGGAGAGUGGAGCUCCAUGUGUAGCGGUGGAAUGCGUAGA
rnacentral:rRNA from 1 species